UACGUAGGGGGCAAGCGUUGUCCGGAAUUACUGGGCGUAAAGGGCGUGUAGGCGGUAAAUUAAGUCAGAUGUGAAAGUCCACGGCUCAACCGUGGAAUUGCAUUUGAAACUGGUUUACUUGAGUGCAGGAGAGGAGAGCGGAAUUCCUAGUGUAGCGGUGAAAUGCGUAGAUAUUAGGAAGAACACCAGUGGCGAAGGCGGCUCUCUGGACUGUAACUGACGCUGAGGCGCGAAAGCGUGGGGAGCGAACAGGAUUAGAUACCCUGGUAGUCCACGCCGUAAACGAUGAGUGCUAGGUGUUGGGGGUCGAACCUCAGUGCCGCAGCUAACGCAUUAAGCACUCCGCCUGGGGAGUACGACCGCAAGGUUGAA
rnacentral:rRNA from 1 species